CCUACGGGAGGCUGCAGUGGGGAAUAUUGGGCAAUGGAGGCAACUCUGACCCAGCAACGCCGCGUGAAUGAUGAAGGUCUUCGGAUUGUAAAGUUCUUUUCUAAGGGAAGAAGAAAGUGACGGUACCUUAGGAAUAAGCCUCGGCUAACUACGUGCCAGCAGCCGCGGUAAUACGUAGGAGGCAAGCGUUAUCCGGAAGGACUGGGCGUAAAGGGUGCGUAGGUGGUUCAGCAAGUUAGUAGCGGAAGUCCGGGGCUCAACCUCGGCACUACUACUAAAACUGUUGGACUUGAGUGCAGUAGGGGUAACUGGAAUUCCUAGUGUAGCGGUGGAAUGCGUAGAUAUUAGGAGGAACACCAGUGGCGAAGGCGAGUUGCUGGACUGUAAAUGACACUGAGGCACGAAAGCGUGGGGAGCAAACAGGAUUAGAUACCCGUGUAGUC
rnacentral:rRNA from 1 species